rnacentral:rRNA from 1 species
AGAGUUUGAUCCUGGCUCAGAUUGAACGCUGGCGGCAGGCCUAACACAUGCAAGUCGAGCGGUAGAGAGAAGCUUGCUUCUCUUGAGAGCGGCGGACGGGUGAGUAAUGCCUAGGAAUCUGCCUGGUAGUGGGGGAUAACGUUCGGAAACGGACGCUAAUACCGCAUACGUCCUACGGGAGAAAGCAGGGGACCUUCGGGCCUUGCGCUAUCAGAUGAGCCUAGGUCGGAUUAGCUAGUUGGUGAGGUAAUGGCUCACCAAGGCGACGAUCCGUAACUGGUCUGAGAGGAUGAUCAGUCACACUGGAACUGAGACACGGUCCAGACUCCUACGGGAGGCAGCAGUGGGGAAUAUUGGACAAUGGGCGAAAGCCUGAUCCAGCCAUGCCGCGUGUGUGAAGAAGGUCUUCGGAUUGUAAAGCACUUUAAGUUGGGAGGAAGGGCAGUAAAUUAAUACUUUGCUGUUUUGACGUUACCGACAGAAUAAGCACCGGCUAACUCUGUGCCAGCAGCCGCGGUAAUACAGAAGGUGCAAGCGUUAAUCGGAAUUACUGGGCGUAAAGCGCGCGUAGGUGGUUUGUUAAGUUGGAUGUGAAAUCCCCGGGCUCAACCUGGGAACUGCAUCAAAACUGACUGACUAGAGUAUGGUAGAGGGAGGUGGAAUUUCCUGUGUAGCGGUGAAAUGCGUAGAUAUAGGAAGGAACACCAGUGGCGAAGGCGACCACCUGGACUAAUACUGACACUGAGGUGCGAAAGCGUGGGGAGCAAACAGGAUUAGAUACCCUGGUAGUCCACGCCGUAAACGAUGUCAACUAGCCGUUGGAAGCCUUGAGCUUUUAGUGGCGCAGCUAACGCAUUAAGUUGACCGCCUGGGGAGUACGGCCGCAAGGUUAAAACUCAAAUGAAUUGACGGGGGCCCGCACAAGCGAUGGAGCAUGUGGUUUAAUUCGAAGCAACGCGAAGAACCUUACCAGGCCUUGACAUCCAAUGAACUUUCUAGAGAUAGAUUGGUGCCUUCGGGAACAUUGAGACAGGUGCUGCAUGGCUGUCGUCAGCUCGUGCCGUGAGAUGUUGGGUUAAGUCCCGUAACGAGCGCAACCCUUGUCCUUAGUUACCAGCACGUCAUGGUGGGCACUCUAAGGAGACUGCCGGUGACAAACCGGAGGAAGGUGGGGAUGACGUCAAGUCAUCAUGGCCCUUACGGCCUGGGCUACACACGUGCUACAAUGGUCGGUACAGAGGGUUGCCAAGCCGCGAGGUGGAGCUAAUCCCACAAAACCGAUCGUAGUCCGGAUCGCAGUCUGCAACUCGACUGCGUGAAGUCGGAAUCGCUAGUAAUCGCGAAUCAGAAUGUCGCGGUGAAUACGUUCCCGGGCCUUGCACUCACCGCCCGUC